rnacentral:rRNA from 1 species
AGCGAACGCUGGCGGCAGGCCUAACACAUGCAAGUCGAACGAACUCUUCGGAGUUAGUGGCGGACGGGUGAGUAACACGUGGGAACGUGCCUUUAGGUUCGGAAUAACUCAGGGAAACUUGUGCUAAUACCGAAUGUGCCCUUCGGGGGAAAGAUUUAUCGCCUUUAGAGCGGCCCGCGUCUGAUUAGCUAGUUGGUGAGGUAAUGGCUCACCAAGGCUACGAUCAGUAGCUGGUCUGAGAGGAUGACCAGCCACAUUGGGACUGAGACACGGCCCAAACUCCUACGGGAGGCAGCAGUGGGGAAUCUUGCGCAAUGGGCGAAAGCCUGACGCAGCCAUGCCGCGUGGAUGAUGAAGGUCUUAGGAUUGUAAAAUCCUUUCACCGGUGAAGAUAAUGACUGUAGCCGGAGAAGAAGCCCCGGCUAACUUCGUGCCAGCAGCCGCGGUAACAC